GGCAGCUAUCAAGCAGUCUGUCACGCGGUCUCUGCCUGUCGUGGUAGUUUUGGGUUCGACAGGCACCGGGAAAUCUAAAUUGGCCAUCCAGAUAGCAAAGACAUUCAAUGGGGAGAUCAUAAGUGCCGAUUCUAUGCAGGUUUACAAGGGCCUGAACAUUGUGACAAACAAAGUGACUACAGAGGAGCAAGCAGAGUGUCCACAUCACCUGAUAAACUACAUCAGUCCCCUCCAUACCCAAUACACUGUGGUGGAUUACCAGAAAGCUGCCCUACCAAUUAUAGAAGGCCUUCUGACUCGAAAUAAGCUUCCUGUGAUUGUGGGUGGGACAAAUUACUACAUCGAAUCUCUCCUGUGGAAUUACCUAUUGCCUGACUCUCAGGUAAGCAAA